AUAUAUUUAGGUUCUUAUAUUUAAGAUUAAUAGGGAAAGAGGUGUAAAUCCUCUACAGUCCCCGCUACUGUAAUGCAGACGAACUCUAUUUACCACUGUUUUAUACGGGAAGGUUAGAGUAAGGUUGAAGCUAAGUCAGGAGACCUGCCUUGUAUAUU
rnacentral:ncRNA from 1 species